UCGGCUUAGAGUUUGAUCAUGGCUCAGGACGAACGCUGGCGGCGUGUCUAAUACAUGCAAGUCGAACGAAUUGGUGCUUGCAUCAUUGAGUGGCGAACUGGUGAGUAACACGUGGGAAACCUGCCCAGAAGCGGGGGAUAACACCUGGAAACAGAUGCUAAUACCGCAUAACAACUUGACCGCAUGGUCCGAGUUGAAAGAUGUUCGUAUCACUUUUGGAUGGUCCCGCGGCGUAUUAGCUAGAUGGUGGGGUAACGGCUCACCAUGGCAAUGAUACGUAGCCGACCUGAGAGGGUAAUCGGCCACAUUGGGACUGAGACACGGCCCAAACUCCUACGGGAGGCAGCAGUAGGGAAUCUUCCACAAUGGACGAAAGUCUGAUGGAGCAACGCCGCGUGAGUGAAGAAGGGUUUCGGCUCGUAAAACUCUGUUGUUAAAGAAGAACAUAUCUGAGGUAAUUCAGGUAUUGACGGUAUUUAACCAGAAAGCCACGGCUAACUACGUGCCAGCAGCCGCGGUAAUACGUAGUGGCAAGCGUUGUCCGGAUUUAUUGGGCGUAAAGCGAGCGCAGCGGUUUUUUAAGUCUGAUGUGAAAGCCUUCGGCUCAACCGAAGAAGUGCAUCGGAAACUGGGAAACUUGAGUGCAGA
rnacentral:rRNA from 1 species